GGGGGGGAGGGGGGCCGGCCCUAAAGAGUGCAGGUCGAGCGCAUGACGAGGAGCUUGCUCCUCUGAUUGAGCGGCGGACGGGUGAGUAACACGUGGGCAACCUGCCCUGUAGACGGGGAUAACUUCGGGAAACCGGAGCUAAUACCGGAUAAUCCUCUUCCCCACAUGGGGAAGAGUUGAAAGGCGCUUUCGCGUCACUACAGGAUGGGCCCGCGGUGCAUUAGCUAGUUGGUGGGGUAACGGCCUACCAAGGCGACGAUGCAUAGCCGACCUGAGAGGGUGAUCGGCCACAUUGGGACUGAGACACGGCCCAAACUCCUACGGGAGGCAGCAGUAGGGAAUCUUCCACAAUGGACGAAAGUCUGAUGGAGCAACGCCGCGUGAGUGAUGAAGGUUUUCGGAUCGUAAAACUCUGUUGUAAGGGAAGAACCAGUACGUCAGGCAAUGGACGUACCUUGACGGUACCUUAUUAGAAAGCCACGGCUAACUACGUGCCAGCAGCCGCGGUAAUACGUAGGUGGCAAGCGUUGUCCGGAAUUAUUGGGCGUAAAGCGCGCGCAGGUGGUUUCUUAAGUCUGAUGUGAAAGCCCACGGCUUAACCGUGGAGGGUCAUUGGAAACUGGGAGACUUGAGUGCAGAAGAGGAAAGUGGAAUUCCAAGUGUAGCGGUGAAAAUGCGUAGAGAUUUGGAGGAACACCAGUGGCGAAGGCGACUUUCUGGUCUGCAACUGACGCUGAGGCGCGAAAGCAUGGGGAGCAAACAGGAUUAGAUACCCUGGUAGUCCAUGCCGUAAACGAUGAGUGCUAAGUGUUAGGGGGUUUCCGCCCCUUAGUGCUGCAGCUAACGCAUUAAGCACUCCGCCUGGGGAGUACGACCGCAAGGUUGAAACUCAAGGAAUUGACGGGGCCCGCACAAGCGGUGGAGCAUGUGGUUUAUUUCGAAGCAACGCGAAGAACCUUACCAGGUCUUGACAUCCCGAUGACCGCUCUAGAGAUAGAGUUUUCCCUUCCGGGGACAUUGGUUGACAGGUGGUUGCAUGGUGUCGUCAGCUCGUGUUCGUGAGAUUGUUUGGGUUUAAGUCCGCAACCGAGCGCCAACCUAAAUCCUAAUUUGCCAUCAUUCAGGUGGGCCACCUCUAAGGUGACUGCCGGGUGAAUAACGGAGAAGGUGAGGAAUGACGUCAAUUCAAUUCCGAUGUCCUCGCCCCUUAAUGA
rnacentral:rRNA from 1 species